GUUUCAUCAUCUUCUCUCGCCCAUCUGGAAGUUGGUAGAAUGAGGUCAAUUUUCUCCUUCUUUACAAAGGCUUUUAGCUCCGGCUGUGGGAUUGGUAUUGUCGAGGCCAGAUCCACAGGCUCUUCAGUUUCCAC
rnacentral:sRNA from 1 species